AUAAUAUUUCAGAAACUAUUGAGAGGCAUGAAAAAUGAAGAGAAAGGGUGACAUCACUAGUUUCUUCCACCCAAAGAGGAGGGAUCAGGGAGACACAACAGAGGUAGUCACAGAUGAUGAAGCAGGAGAAGUGGAAAAUACAAAGCAAGAUGGAGGAGAAGAAGUUGAACAAGGGCAAGAAGUUGAUAUGUUGAAAGGAGAAGAAGAAAUAGACAUACAGUUCAGAGAGGAGACAAUAGUCAGACAGCGGAGGGGAAGAGAGACAGCCUGAGUUCCCUCAGGUUAUGCCCAGUUGUUCUGGUCCCCAUAGUAAGAUGAUUGUGCUCUGUAGCUUUCUAUCUGGGCAGUAUAUUUUUUUCUUGUAACAUCAAAAUGCUUAUUAUUUUAUGUCAUUGAAAAGCUUCAUAAUUUAGGCUGAUGCUUAUAAGAAAGUUAUGUGUGUAUAUGAAACAUCUGUAAGUAUGCUUACACUUACUGUAAUGGUGUUUAUUAUUAGGUAUUUUAACCUUAUAUAUUGCAUAUGAGUGCACAGUUACUACCACGUGUGCGUGCACAUGCGUAGAGGACUAAGAUUUGAUUUUGCUACCCCAUCUGAUCUGCAAUCUGCAUGCCGCCCCCAUGCCACUCGAAGAAAAUUUCUCUAGAUCCACCCCUGGGUACUGGUAAUAUUCACAUGUAUGCUGAUGGCACAGUUGUCUGUUGUUCUGCUGAAAAGCAGCAGAUUGUCUUCAUUAGCCUGCAAAAUACAUUCAGCAAUCUAAAUCUGACUAAAUAUAUGCUGUUUACCAAAGAAAUAUUGAUAGUGACUUGAAAAUGAACAAGUUAAAUGAUUUUCAUAUUGAGAGAGUAAAUCAAUACAAAUAUCUUGGAAUUUGGAUUGAUAAUGAAUUUACUUUUAAGGCACUUUUGAAAAAAGAGGGCUUAUUUAUUUAAAAUGUAACUUUCAUUUUACCAUGUAAAAGUGAUUGAGAACAAAGUCAAGAAGGGACAAUCGUUGGUUCAAAUGCAGCACCUCCUCAUCUUCCUCACCCUCCUCCAAAAGCCUUCAUUCACAAUGACGGACAGGAAGAGCAAGAUGGCUGCCCCCACAGCGAUCCGUGCUAGAUUCUCCACUGUGCAGGAAACUGGGGGGAAAUAAAAAACCCACAGAGACGUGCAAGCCGGCUUUCGCAUGAGGCAUCAGCGUCAUCCUGAGCAACUUAUCAGAAACAGAAUCAGAAUUGGGUUUAUUGGCCAAACAUGCUUUUUUCACAUGUAAGGAAUUUGACUCCGGUUCACAGUAACUCACACUGUACUUACAUUCACAAUGUCAACAACAAACAACAAUAACAAACAACAACAAGAGUAGGUUUUACCUACAGUGAGCAGUAGUGAAAGUGUGUUGUGCUUUUACAAAGAAUAAAUAUGUAAUAAAUAUAAGUGUAUGAAUAAAUUAUUGCACUAUGAACAUGGCUGUGGGUAUGUACAACUAUUUUUUGAUAG